rnacentral:lncRNA from 1 species
AAUGACCUAAAGGUUUUAUUAAGUUUGCUCGCCAAAAUUUCACGGUCAUGUGCCUACGUAUCCUUAUAAGGACGGAAUCAGAGCAACCGUAGUUCACCUAAUUAUGGGUGAAAGAAUACUUGAUAGUGAUCAAGGUUCCAAAGGGGGAAGUAAAUGUUCAUAAUAAACAUACUAACAAGAGUUACAAACUCUUACUUAAAUCUAAGUUUAAAGUGAAAAUGACUCUAACAAGGUCAAAGAGG